rnacentral:rRNA from 1 species
UACGUAGGGGGCAAGCGUUGUCCGGAUUUAUUGGGCGUAAAGAGCGUGUAGGCGGUUUUACAGGUCCGCUGUGAAAACUCGAGGCUCAACCUCGAGCUGUCGGUGGAGACCGUAAGACUAGAGUCCGGAAGAGGAGAGUGGAAUUCCUGGUGUAGCGGUGAAAUGCGCAGAUAUCAGGAAGAACACCCGUGGCGAAGGCGGCUCUCUGGGACGGUACUGACGCUGAGACGCGAAAGCGUGGGGAGCGAACAGG